CAAUUGUUUCUCUAUAGUUUCCAACUCUAAAAGGAUAAUACAUGUUUAUCCAUAGAUAAAUGUUUUCAUAGCUAGUACACCAUUAAAUAAUAAACACCCGUCAACCUCCAUCGAGAACAGGGGGAUGGACAAGAAAGCAUACUCUACAAACAACCUUUACAUUUUCAUGCUUUGUUGAUUUGUACCCCCGUGUUGUAUUAUGUACACAUCCUCAUGGAGAUUCCCAUCAAGAGAGACGAUUUUUAUAUCCAUAUGCCAUAUUUCAUAAUCAUGAUACACAACAAUAACAAGUAAAAUCCAAACAGAUCUGAGCAUUGUACCUAGUGAAAAUGUUUCAUCAUAUUCAACACCAUGAAUUUGAUUAUAUCCCUUAGCAACCCUUUAUGCCUUAUAGGCGUGUACCUUACCAUCCAUGUCAGUCUUCUUUAUGUACAUGGAAUCCAUUUUAAAAUUCAUGGCCUCUAGCCACUUCUUAGACUGAUAA